UCCAUUUGCUCAACAAAUGGGCCGCCGGAAAAACUGUAGAGUUAGGGAGUGGGAGAGGUAGACGGUACUCGGUAGGAAGGGGUAAAAUCCUUUGAUCUAUCGAUGACCACCUGUGGCGAAGGCGGUCUACCAGAACACGUCCGACGGUGAGGGAUGAAAGCUGGGGGAGCAAACCGGAUUAGAUACCCGGGUAGUCCCAGCUGUAAACGAUGCAGACUCGGUGAUGCGCUGGCUUGUGGCCAGUGCAGUGCCGCAGGGAAGCCGUUAAGUUUGCCGCCUGGGUAGUACGUACGCAAGUAUGAAACUUAAAGGAAUUGGCGGGGGAGCACCACAAGGGGUGAAGCCUGCGGUUCAAUUGGAGUCAACGCCAGAAAUCUUACCCGGGGAGACAGCAGAAUGAAGGUCAAGCUGAAGACUUUACCAGACAAGCUGAGAGGUGGUGCAUGGCCGUCGCCAGCUCGUGCCGUGAGAUGUCCUGUUAAGUCAGGUAACGAGCGAGAUCCCUGCCUCUAGUUGCCACCAUUACUCUCAGGAGUAGGUGGGGCGAAUUAGCGGGACCGCCACAGUUAAUGUGGAGGAAGGAAGGGGCCACGGCAGGUCAGUAUGCCCCGAAACCCUGGGGCCACACGCGGGCUGCAAUGGUAGUGACAAUGGGUUCCGAACCUGAAAGGGGAAGGUAAUCCUCAAACGCUACCACAGUUAUGAUUGAGGGCUGUAACUCGUCCUCAUGAAUAUGGAAUCCCUAGUAACCGCGUGUCAUU
rnacentral:rRNA from 1 species